rnacentral:lncRNA from 1 species
UCAGAUCAACAUACUUUCUUCAUCGAAGUUGUUCCUUAACUUGUGAACUACAACAUAUCCAAAUUUGAGGUCCCUCGGAGCAGUAUAACUCCAGAAAUCCAGGUAUGAUGAGUGACUGUUUAUCAUUUGUCUGUCAACCCGUCAGAUUUGUUGUGAGCUUUGAAACUCUAUUUUCUCUUGCUCAGAUCAGCAUGCUUUCUUCAUUGAAGUUGUUCCUCAGCUUGUGAAAUACAACAUAUCCAAAUUUGAGAUCCCUCGGAGCAGUAUAACUCCAGAAAUCCAGGUAUGAUGAAUGACUGGUUAUUAUUUUUCUGUCAACCCGUCAGAUUUGUUGUGAGCUUCGAAACUCCAUUUUCUCUUGUUCAGAUCGGUAUGCUUUCUUCAUUGAAGUUGUUCCUCAGCUCGUGAACUACAACAUAUCCAAAUUUGAGAUCCCUCGGAGCAGUAUAACUCCAGAAAAUCCAGGUAUGAUGAAUGACUGGUUAUUAUUUUUCUGUCAACCCGUCAGAUUUGUUGUGAGCUUCGAAACUCCAUUUUCUCUUGUUCAGAUCGGCAUGCUUUCUUCAUUGAAGUUGUUCCUCA